GCCCUGGUGGCAUAGUGGUUAAAGUGCUUGGCUGCUAACCAAAAGGUCAGUGGUUCGAACCCACCAGCUGCU
rnacentral:tRNA from 1 species